AGAGACGGGAUUUCACCAUGUUUCCCAGGCUGAUCUCAAACUCCUGGACUCAAGCGAUCCUCCCACCUCGGCCUCCCACAGUGCUGGGAUGACAGGCGUGAGCCACCACACUGGCCCGGGCUGUGCAUUUGUUUGCAUUCUUCUCAAAUUAGUUUUCAGUUUCCCUGAUGGUCUCUUUGACUCACUGGUUGUUUAGGAGUGUGUAAUUUCCACAUAUUUUUGAAUUUCUCACAUUUCCUUCACUAUUGAUUUCCAGUUUCGUGCCAGUACAGCUGAAGAACACCUCUGCUUCGGUCUCAGUCCUUCUCCAUUCACUGCGGCUCAUUUUGUGGCCUGGCACAUGGUCUGUCAUGGGGAAUGUCCCCUGGGUGCUGGAGAGGACUGUGUAUUCAGCUGUUGUUGGGUGGCGUGUGUAACAGAUGUCCAUUCAGCGUACCUGGUUUCCUGUGUUAAUCUCCGGAAUGUUUCUGGCACUAGAAAAUCAGAAGCUUUCCACUGUUCCCAGCGCCCUGGCUUUGGGAGAGGCCAGUGAGCAUGUGGCUUGGGAGCCUGGUUGCAUGAGAGAAGCAUGUGUGGGAACACCAGGGGCCGGCUUUGAACCCCAUUCCCCCAACAUGAUGCCGUGUGUGGCAGACAUGACGCUUGGCUUUGCUCUCUCAGCGUUCCAUCGGCGACAGGGGCUACUUGUGCCCCUGGCCUCAUCAGCUCAGGCUGAAGGCAGCCCUGGUCCUGGCCUGAGGGGCUUUGUGAAGCAGAAAUAGAUGGCCUGGUGCAGGGGCCGAGCCUGGCCAGGACCUCGGCCCUGGGAGUUGUAAAGAAGGCUGGCCUCUACCAUGAGCCUCUGCACCAAGGUGUGCCCAUGUGACUGUGUGCUCGGCGUCUGCCCUGGCACGGGUGCAUGGCCUGUGUGCGCUCAGUCUCCCUGCCUAUGGGGCCCAGGCUCACAGAGGUGUGAAAGAGGCAAGCACGGCGCAGGGGCCUCCGAGCCCAGCCAGCCUCGCUUCGAUGCUGGGAGACUAACGUCUUCCAUUUUGUCUUCUGCCCAGGCCAGUUGCGGGCCGUCCACCGGCUGUGCUACUUCUACAGCACCGUCAUGCCCAGCGAGGCCCAGUGUGUCAUCUACCAUGAGCUCCAGCUCUCCCUGGCCCGCAAGGUGGCCGGCAAGGUGCUGGAGGGGCAGCUCCUGGAGACCAUCAGUCAACUCUACCUGUCCCUGGGCACCAAGCGGGCCUGCAAAUCCACUCUGGACUACACCAAGGAAGUCUGGGGAUUUUCACUGACCUUCAGAAGGAAGAGAAGGAGGCGCAUGCCUGGCUGCAAGCAGGGAAGAUCUAUUACAUCCUGCGGCAGAGCGAGCUGGUGGACCUGUACAUCCAGGUGGCACAGAAUGUGGUCCUGUACACAGGCGACCCCAGCCUGAGGCUGGAGCUGUUUGAGGCAGCUGGAGACAUCUUCUUCAAUGGGGCCUGGGAGCGGGAGAAAGCCGUGUCCUUCUACGGGGACCGGGUCCUGGCCCUGGCAGUGACUACGGGCAACUGAAGGCGGAGCUGCAGCUACAGCUGUGCAACAAGCUGGUGGCACUCCUGGCCACACUGGAGAAGCCCCAGGACGGCUUGGAGUUUGCCUACAUGGCCCUAGCACCCAGCAUCACUCUGGGUAAGUCCCCUGAGCCCCCACCCUGCCAGGACCCACACUUUGCCAGAGCCCAGCCUCCAGGUCUGCAGGGCAGGAGCUGAAACAGCUGCUGGAUUUUCCUGGUCUCCUGUCCAGGCAGGCAGAUCUGCCCAACUGGCUUCCCCGUCUAGCUGUGGGGCACGGCCCGAGGUGUCUCACGCAGUGCAGAGCUCCCUGCCUGACUGAGCUCUGUUUCCUCUGCCUGUUCCCGCUGCUGACCACAAGGGCCGCCCAGUGUGCCCUCUGCCUUCCAGACAUGCCAGGCAUCUCGUUGGUCCCUGUAUGUGCCAGGCUGAGUGGCACAUUCCCUUUCUCUUGUGCCCUACCCAACCUCAUCAACCACACGGCUCUCUGGCUGAUAAAAUCCCAGUUCUCCUUCCAGCAGUCGGCACCUUAAGGCCGGGCAUCCCCUGGUGCUGUGCCAGGGUCGUCUGUCCCCCUCCAGAGACAGGGAACCCUAGGCAGGCCGCAUGCCCCAGCACCUUGUGCCCCGUGGCCCAGUACACAGUAGGUGUGCAGCUGACUCCCCAAAGUAGGGGGCUGUGAUUGUGACACACGCAGGAGGAGUCGGAUGUCACGUCUGUGGGUUGCCUGGAGCCGGGGUGCCCGGGAGCACCUGGACUGCAUGGCUUUUGGGCUCCCCUGGUUAAAACCAGUGAGCCAAGGCAGGUGGCUAUGUGUAGGCACAGAGCUGGGCCAUCCAAGUCCGACUUUGCCAAAGCCUCACAGUAGACAGGGGCAGGCCUUAUUAGUUCUGCUUUGCAGAUGGGAAAGUGAGUCUGGGAACCUGGAAGGGACUGGCCAGAGCUGCCCAGGCGACCGCAGGUGCCUGGAGGCAAGCCAGGUGCUGCCCGGGGUCUGCAUACCUGCUCCUGAGGGGCCUGUGCCCUCCCUGCCCCAGGGAGCCACUUCCUCACACCUGCCCCUUUGGCCUGCA